rnacentral:rRNA from 1 species
UACGUAGGUGACGAGCGUUAUCCGGAAUUAUUGGGCGUAAAGCGCCCGCAGGCGGCUGUUCAAGUCUGACGUGAAAUCGCUCGGCUUAACUGGGCGGGGUCGUUGGAAACUGAAUAGCUUGAGGCAAGGAGAGGGGCGUGGAAUUCCCAGUGUAGAGGUGAAAUUCGUAGAUAUUGGGAAGAACACCGGUGGCGAAGGCGGCUCACUGGCUCAUUUCUGACGCUCAGGCGCGACAGCGUGGGGAUCG